AAAUUAAUUUUUGUCUGUGGUUCUCGUUCAAAACCGUCAAGAAACAUCAUCUGUCAGCUGUCAAGAGUGUCAAGUGAACAGCGAAUCUAAUUUUGGAGAAAAUAAUUGUUUUAUCGACAGCCGUCGUCCCCGCAGCCCCAACCAAGGCGGCGACGCAGCCAGAGCGGGCAAGAGCGGCUCCGCGGGCUCUUCUUCCACGCUGAGAAGUUCUCGCCAAGUUGGCACGUACAGUCAGAGCUGCCGCUGCAAUGACGCCUUCAUGGCAGUUACCAGUGCUAAGGACGUGCACUACUGGCUUACUUGACCAGAAGAGACAAUACUUUAAGCGUUAGUAUUGAUUCAAACCGUGAAGUGAAAUUGUGGACAGGUUUGCCCGAAUCAGUGUAACCUCAGUGAACUCAUUUACUUCAUAGACUUCAAACAUUUUCGAAAUUAACAAAAGUCAAGCGGACAUUGAAUACAUAGAUAAGAUGCAUUAGAUAAGAUAAAAGCUGCCUGUGAAACCAAAACUAAUAA